rnacentral:rRNA from 1 species
UAGGCCUACGGGAGGCAGCAGUGAGGAAUAUUGGUCAAUGGGCUUACGCCUGAACCAGCCAAGUCGCGUGAGGGAAGACUGCCCUAUGGGUUGUAAACCUCUUUUGUCAGGGAGCAACGCCGGCUACGUGUAGCCGGACUGAGAGUACCUGAAGAAAAAGCAUCGGCUAACUCCGUGCCAGCAGCCGCGGUAAUACGGAGGAUGCGAGCGUUAUCCGGAUUUACUGGGUGUAAAGGGAGCGCAGGCGGCACGGCAAGCCUGAGGUGAAAGCACGCGGCCCAACCGCGGGACUGAAUUGG